rnacentral:rRNA from 1 species
CGUGAGGGAAAGGUGAAAAGAACCCCGGGAGGGGAGUGAAAUAGAACCUGAAACCAUGUGCCUACAACCGAUCAAAGCACCUUAUGUGUGUGAUGAUGUGCUUUUUGUAGAACGAGCCAACGAGUUACGGUAUGUAGCGAGGUUAAGUACUUAAGGUACGGAGCCGAAGGGAAACCGAGUCUUAAUAGGGCGACUAGUUGCAUGCUGUAGACCCGAAACCGGGUGACCUAUCCAUGGCCAGGUUGAAGCGAGGGUAAAACCUCGUGGAGGACCGAACCACGUUGCUGUUGAAAAAGCAUGGGAUGAGCUGUGGAUAGCGGAGAAAUUCCAAUCGAACUCGGAUAUAGCUGGUUCUCCUCGAAAUAGCUUUAGGGCUAGCGUCGUGAAAUGUGAGUACUGGAGGUAGAGCACUGAAUAGGCUAGGGGGCAUAGCGCUUACCGAACCUUAUCAAACUCCGAAUGCCAGAUACUAUCAGCACGGCAGUCAGACUAUGAAAGAUAAGUUCCAUGGUCAAAAGGGAAACAGCCCAGAUCGUCAGCUAAGGUCCCAAAGUGUAAGUUAAGUGGAAAAGGAUGUGGGAUUUCUAAGACAACUAGGAUGUUGGCUUAGAAGCAGCCACUCAUUAAAAGAGUGCGUAAUAGCUCACUAGUCAAGAGAUCCUGCGCCGAAAAUGUCCGGGGCUCAAACUUACCACCGAAGCUACGGGUUCAUACUUUGUAUGAGCGGUAGAGGAGCGUCGUAAUCGGGCUGAAGUCGUACCGUAAGGAGCGGUGGACUGAUUACGAGUGAGAAUGUUGGCAUUAGUAGCGAGAUGUAGGUGAGAAUCCUACAGGCCGAAUAUCUAAGGUUUCCUGAGUAAAGUUUGUCUUCUCAGGGUUAGUCGGGACCUAAGGCGAGGCCGAGAGGCGUAGUCGAUGGACAAUUGGUUGAUAUUCCAAUACCACUAUAAUCGUUAUUAUCGAUGGUGUGACGGAGAAGGAUAGGAUGUGCCAGCUAUUGGAUGCUGGUCUAAGCGUUGAGGGAGUUAGAACAGGCAAAUCCGUUCUAACAAUCCUAGGGCGUGAUGGGGAAGGUUCUACGGAACCGAAGUAUCUGAUUUCAUGCUUCCAAGAAAAGCAUCUAGAAAGAGAAGUAGUGCCCGUACCGCAAACCGACACAGGUAGAUGAGGAGAGAAUCCUAAGGCCGACGGAAGAAUCACAGUUAAGGAACUAGGCAAAUUGACCCCGUAACUUCGGGAGAAGGGGUGCCUACCAUCUGGUAGGCCGCAGAGAAUAGGCACAAGCAACUGUUUAACAAAAACACAGGUCUCUGCUAAAGCGUAAGCUGAUGUAUAGGGGCUGACGCCUGCCCGGUGCUGGAAGGUUAAGGGGAACACUUA